CCAAAAUGAUGUUAACAUUGUCUGAACUACCAUGUGGCAUACAAAUAUACGAGCUUUUUAACACUGAUUGGA